rnacentral:rRNA from 1 species
GCAACGCGAAGAACCUUACCAGGUCUUGACAUCCUUAUGCCUUUCCUAGAGAUAGAAUUUCCCUUCGGGGACAUAAGUGACAGGUGGUGCAUGGUUGUCGUCAGCUCGUGUCGUGAGAUGUUGGGUUAAGUCCCGCAACGAGCGCAACCCUUGAUCUUAGUUGCCAGCAUUAAGUUGGGCACUCUAAGGUGACUGCCGGUGACAAACCGGAGGAAGGUGGGGAUGACGUCAAAUCAUCAUGCCCCUUAUGACCUGGGCUACACACGUGCUACAAUGGAUGGUACAAAGGGCAGCAAGACCGCGAGGUUAAGCCAAUCCCAUAAAACCAUUCUCAGUUCGGAUUGUAGGCUGCAACUCGCCUACAUGAAGCCGGAAUCGCUAGCAAUCGCGGAUCAGCAUGCCGCGGUGAAUACGUUCCCGGGCCUUGUACACACCGCCCGUCACACCACGAGAGUUUGUAACACCCGAAGUCGGUGGGGUAACCUUUUGGAGCCAGCCGCCUAAGGUGGG